AGAUGGUGAACUAUGCCUGAAUAGGGCGAAGCCAGGGGAAACCCUGGUGGAAGCCCGCAGCGAUUCUGACGUGCAAAUCGAUCGUCAAAUUUGGGUAUAGGGGCGAAAGACUAAUCGAACCGUCUAGUAGCUGGUUCCCUCCGAAGUUUCCCUCAGGAUAGCUGGAGCCCGGUGCAGUUUUAUCAGGUAAAGCGAAUGAUUAGAGGUCUUGGGGUCGAAACGACCUCAACCUAUUCUCAAACUUUAAAUGGGUAAGAAGUCUGGCUUGCUCGAUUGAAGUCGGACGUGGAAUGCCGGGGCUCCUAGUGGGCCAUUUUUGGUAAGCAGAACUGGCGAUGUGGGAUGAACCGAAAGCCGGGUUAAGGUGCCCGAAUCGACGCUCAGCA
rnacentral:rRNA from 2 species